rnacentral:tRNA from 1 species
AGGUUUCUAGGCAACCGUGACAUAUCCUCCAUUGUGACACUGCUGGAUGAUUUACCAGAGGCCUUUGGUAGGAGUAGGCCUUUGAGGGGAGAGAGAGACAGAGAGAGAGAAGGAGAAAGUGUGUUACAGAGCAAGUUGGGGAGUUAACUCAUUAAGGAGUUAUUGCAUGAGAGCGUUAUUAUGUAAGUUACAGAGUCAUAGUAUUAAGAGUGUUGCCGUGUUAAAGAGGGAAAGUGAUACAGAAAAAUAUCUUUUGAAAUUUAGGUAGGAUUUCUUAGUGGUUUCUGUACUCUGGUUCUAUAACUAUCCAUGAAAACUCACAGUCAGAUGAGACCAUCCUUUUCCUGUCAUGGCUGGAUUAUUUUCAAAACAUUUUCCUUGUGACCAGUUUAAAUGCUUCAGGUAAAUUGGCUUGCCUUGCCUUUUCUUUAGUGGACAUACUCGGAACAAGGGCAUGUCCAUGUUUCGGAGGGGCUUUUGACAAGAUGUCCUCAGUGUGUCUAACUCCUUGCUGCUCCACAAGCUGCUAAUGACAGGUAAUUCAUUAAAAAGCUUGAAGCGUUAGGUGCAUGAAUACACUGCAACCCUUCUCCCUGCUCUGUCCUAAGUUGCCAAAGCUUUGGAACCUCAUAAAAAGCAGCAUGCCAAGGAUGAGUCCUCCAAACUUAGGAGGAUUUCUUUUUUCCAAAUAAAGAGCUCUGCAAAGAUGGAGAAGAAAAUCAAUUUCUGGCAUUGCUACUGAAAGUCCAUCUCUUGGCCCGUAUGUUUGAGCCCAAACUCUGUGUCGUUUUUGAGUGACCCAGUGCAGUAGGAAUGGAAAGGACUGGCUCAGAUUCCUCAGGUAAGGAAGUUAAUUAUGCUGAUGGAGAAUUGUUGUAAGGGCAACAAGAAUCUGCCUAAUUGGGCAAGAAGGAGGCAUGCCUCUGAUUCAAGAAGAGUUCAGAAUACUUUCACUUGACUUGCCAUGGAAAGAGGCAGAGAACACUUUCCUCGCUGCCUUUGAGGUGAAAGCAUGGCACUUAGUUAAUGUGGUGCAGGGGUCUCUAAUAUGAACAAUUAGUACAUUAAGCACUAAACAAAUUGAGGUUACAAUCCUAUAAGCACAUCACUGCUAGUGUACCCAAUGACAUGUUUCUUCAGGAGUAAGUGAGACUUCUGAGUAUACUGUAUAAGCACAGGAUGGGUCUUCGGUUGCUUGAUUUUAAGAGAGCAGUGAUAAACUGUGCCAUUAGAUGGCAGUGUUUUACAUUCUAUAGUAGUUGCAUCUAUGCUGAGCUAUUUUCUUUUAGAGACCCAUAGCUUUCUUGACUUAAAAUAGCAUCCUUCUUCUGGUAUUCAUUAUAUGGAAAAUCUCAGCUUUAAAGUCUUUUUCCAUCUUUACAGAAAGUACAGGCAAAGAUUUGUUCCAAGGGUUUGGGUCUAUUUCCCCCCCCCCUUUAUGAUUGUGUUAAUCACUUUAAAAUUAAUAUAGUAAACCUCAGUUCCAUGCAAGUACAUUAUGAAACCUGUUGGCUUUAGCAAGAAUGGGGGUCAUGGGACUGAGCUAAUAAAGUAGGGAGGAAAGCCUUGCUUCAUACUAAUCUGCUUGAUAGAGUAGAGGAUAAAGGAAUGGAGAUGGCAACAAAGCAUAUUCAGAUAUUUUGGCAAUAAAUUCUAUUGCAAUUCCCUGCUGCCAUGGAGUUCCUGUUCUCUAUAACUUGAAUGGUGAAGUGAGUGCUCCUUCAAAGGGAGCAAAUGACCAAAACAUCCAAAUGUAUGUGUAAGUUGUGGGAAGAUGCUCCUUUCAUGCAUGCUGUGGGGAUUCCAGCUUGCAUAUGUUGAACCCCCUCCCCUGCCAGUAGAUUGCUUUACAUGGACAGAAUUAAACACCAUAUGAACAUCACUGGUGCACUAUUAGAGUGUUGUUGCUGUGCUAUAGAGAAAGUCAGAAGUGAGGGAAGGUUCAGCCACAGUUAUGUCCUUUUAAGACCCAUCUGGAUAUCUCAGUUGGUUAGAGCGUGGUGCUGAUAACACCAAGGUUGCAGGUUUGAUCCCUGUAUGGGACAUCUGCAUAUUCCUGCAUUGCUGGAGAUGAUCCUCAGGGUCCCUUCCAACUCUACAAUUCUCCGAUUCUAUGAUCAAUGGAAAGGUGAGAAUGUGCUGAAGAGUGCGGUCCGAAACACUUAUUAAGAAAUAAUCUCCAUCUCUCUAUCUCUAUCCAGGGUCAGGUAAAAAAAUGGGUCAGGUAAAGUACAUCAAUUAAACUUAUAAAUACAACAGCCAGUUGUGACAAUUUCUGUAAAUUUAUAGUGACCAUAUCCAGUCAGUUUACAAGGCCCAAAGCCAGAGUCAUAAUCAGCACUUUGAAUUGUGCCUGGAAACAGACUAGUAGUCAAUGAAGCUGUUGUAACAUGGGAGUUGCAUGCUUCCUAUAAUAAGCCCUGGGCAAUAGUCCGGCUGUAGCAUUCUUAACUGACUGAAUUUUCUGAGCACCCUUCAAAGAGAGCCUCAUUUAAAGGACCUUACAAGUGCUUUAAAAUCCAAACAAGUUAUACCUAAGGCAUAUGUCACUCUGGCCAGCAUAAAAGAAAGUUCACCACCUCUUUGUGUCAAAUUUGGUCCUGUCCAGUAUUCAUCAAUGACAAUAGUGCCAGCAGGAGCUUUAGGAUGAUAAAUGGGAUGAAUAUCACACCUUUCCAGCCCCCCCCCAAAUGAUUGCUAAUCAUACCAUUAAUUCAACUUAAAGUUAAGACCUUAAUGUGUUGGCAUCCUGAGAGAGCAAGCAAAGCAUCAAUGAUGGUGAUACAGAGCUGGAUCUCAGUUAAUGUUUCUAUUUUGAAUUUAUGUAGGGUGACUUUGAAGCAUUCUUAAUUUUAUUUUAAAUUAGUUAAUCCUCUGGCCCAUUCAGCAGAUUUUUUAAACUAGUCUUUUCCCUGAUUUCUUCUAGCCUGAGGACAAUCAGUGUUUGGCUAUUUUCCACAUAACAUUUUUUCCUGCUAUUUCCCUUCCCUAGUUCUCUUAAUCCCAGAAAUAUUAAGUCUAAUUCUACCAUUGUUGUCACUUCAUCUUCCUCCUUUUUUUGCCAAAUGCCCACAAUCUCUAAUAUUUAUGCUUGGGUUUUAAUUUACUGAUAGGACAAAAAUCUUUUAGAGCUGUACUUAACAUUUUUUAUUGAUUGCAGGCUACUAUAUGGUUUUAAUUUGCAUUCCAGGCAUUUUUAAAAACAGCUUUAACAUGCUCUUGAAUUCCUGUCAUUCCGUUUUGUUUCUUUUCUACUUGAAGGUGUGAUCUAAUCUUUUCUGCCUUUGUCCUCCCCAACUAAAUGAUUGAAGGGGGCACUGUGGAGAUGUCUAAUUUGGAAGCCCUAGUUAAAGGGCUUGUUUAUGUUGUUGAUUUAAACCAUUGACAAGAAAGCCCCAGGACCAAAUUCUGCCAGCAGCUGAAGAGGAAAUUGCUGAUUUCCCCAAGUACCUCUAAUGAAGGAGAAGCCAAUAUAGUUAUCUGGUUCUUUUCAUUGUCCACACCCCUCUACGAAAGCACAGAAUUUUAAAUGUCCCCUAUUACAUCCCCACUGGAGGUCAAAAAAGCAUGACUAGUAAGGUUAUUUUGUUAUGCAACAAAGCUACAUUUACAAAAUAAUUUAGGGUUCAAUUUUAAACUUGUGAGCCAUAGAUUAAGAGGCCAUCGGAUUUGGUGGAAGCCCUGCUAUGCUGACAGUGGCUCACCUCAUAUGUAUAUGUGGCUUCCACAUAUGCAUGAAGGAAGCCUUCAAGCUGGGCAUGAGCACAUCAGCACCCUGCUCACCACUCUGCCAGAUACACCAGAGGAAUGACUAACAUACGGUAGAGAUGUGGGUGAGACAUGGGUGGCAUAGAGGAAGGGCAUAUUUAUACCAUAUCCUAGCAAUCAUCCAGGACAUCCUGGGCAGCUUCCACUAGGCUCUGCUUGCUUAGGCAUGGGAGAUGAUGUUGACAUCUGAAGGCUUAAAAAACCUGACAGGGCCUCCCCUUCUAGUGGCUCUGUCUCCUAGAAAGAGCUGUACGCUGUCAUGGUCUGGUUCACGGGUAAUCAAAGUCCUGGCUGGGGAUGUUGGGACCGGGGGCAAGAUGGCGGGGUGGGAGCAGGAACGGGACACCAGAAGCCAGGAGUCAGAAAGUCAGGGGUCCGAGGAUCAAGAAGCAAGGAGUCAAGGAACCAAACACAACAAGGCAGGGAACGAGUUGCUGUGGCAAAGAGCCGAAGGGAAAUGCUGACCUUAUAUCCUUCCCAGCUCUUGCCACCAGGUGCUGUGAGUUACCAAACGGCCUUACCUGUGCAGCCACGCCUUGCCUCUUCAGAACAAACUUAGGAAGGCCCCAGUCCUGCAAAGUCCUACUGGUCACAGGGCGUGGCUCCUGCACGCGCUCCUCACAUAUGCUGCCUUUAAAGUCACAUGUUCUUGCAUGGUUAUGGAGCUGGGGAAGCUUUUGGGGAGUCAUUCUCAGAUCUGAGGGUGAUGAGAAAGCCACACCAUCAGGCUAGGCACUGCGGUGUCAGAGAGUGGCAGCAACUAGUUCAGAAUCUGAGUCCACUUCAGGCAAACAUUGGGGCCCUAUCACUAGGGAUAUGACAAAAAUGUCUUCAUGGAAGUCUAAUACAAGACUCCUUGAACAGAAGAGAACCAGACAGUCAUUUUUUCAGUGAAUAUAUAUAGCCAGAUUAUUACUUUCCUCCCAGCCUUUUAUUGCCUGGUCUUUAGACCCACAGACAGGACCACAGACUUUCUGAAUAGAUUACAAAGGGGAAAUGUCUCAGCACUUGCCUUGGUCAGACAGAAGCCUGGAGCAGGGAAUGAUGUAAACGAUUGGUCUCUCCAUUUGUGAGGUGUGUAUACAUUCUAUUCAGUUCACCUCAUAACUAAAAAAAGAAGCUGACAGAUCUGGAACACAAAGAGAAGGAAACAGCCCAGAUGUUCUCAUUAUGGUUACUAUUUAGGAGCAAACCAUGAUAUAAUGAAGUUCAUACCAGCCAACAUUUUGCAAAUAAAAAUAGGGCCAGGCUUGGAAGAAGCAUCCCAGUUUUCAUAACAAAUAUCACCCCCUCCACAUUAUUAAAGGCUCUUCAGUGCCUGAUGUACAGUGCAUUGGUUUGUUUUGCAAUAGCCUAUCUUCCACUGUAUAGACAGCUCUGAGCCCUUAAGAAACACAAUACCAUUAGUCCCCUUUGGGUUCUGCCCCUUUCUCCUUGCAUUUCACUCCUUCCAUCUGCUUGGUGCUUUAAUAUCCUUGUGCCUAUAGGUCCAUAUAUAAGCCUUAAGAAGAGCCCUGCUUGAUUAAGUCAAGGGCCCAUCUAGGCUAGCAUUCUGUUCUCACAGAGGCCAACCAGAUGUCCUUGGACGCUCACAAGCAGUACCUGAGUGCAACAUCUCUCUUCCCACCUGUAUUUCCCAGCGGCUGAUAUUCAGAGAUAAGACAAGAUCAGAGGCAGAUUUAGGGCAGUGCAACUGGUUCUUCUGCACUGGGUGCCAAGCCUAGGGGGCAUUGCAGGGCAUCACAACUAUGAAUUGAGCAUAACAGAAGGCAAAAGGCACGGGGCUGCUAAAUUUUGGCCUCACACAGGGC